UACGUAGGGGGCGAGCGUUGUCCGGAUUCAUUGGGCGUAAAGAGCUCGUAGGCGGUUUGGCAAGUCGGGUGUGAAAUCUCUGGGCUCAACUCAGAGAGGCCACUCGAGACUGCUAUGACUAGAGUCCGGUAGGGGACCAUGGAAUUCCUGGUGUAAGCGGUGAAAUGCGCAGAUAUCAGGAGGAACACCGGUGGCGAAAGGCGGUGGUCUGGGCCGGCACUGACGCUGAGGAGCGAAAGCGUGGGGAGCGAACAGG
rnacentral:rRNA from 1 species